GCGAGAUAACCUCGAGCUCUUUCGAACGUUCUUUUAUCCAUUUACUAUACUUUCUAAGAUUUAACUGGUGAUUUACGGAGUAUGUCUAUUGGUGUCGAAACGAUCGGAGAACGAGUAAUACCUACUUAACUCGAAUCGUGCUUUACAGAUAGGAGAAGUUUCAUUCAAGAUGGAGAACAAACGUGAAAAGAAAAUGGAACGAUCUGCGUGCAAGUCCUUAUAUAUAUAUAUAACGAUAACAGGAAGAUUGGUAUGAUCUAAUCAUGGAAUCUACUUCGAGCCCUGAACAAAGCAAACUGAACAACCUUAGUUCGUAAGAUGAUCUUAGAGGGAAGAGAAAGACGAGAAUCCAAUCAAAACCGAAUAGAAGAGGCCAUCGAAUAUCCGACGACUACGUUUGCCUUCUGCGAAGCAAUUAUCCCUUUUGCUAAGAAUGGUCUUAGGGACGUAAUUAAUCUCCUUGGCAAUCAACGUUAACAACACUAUGAACAUUACUCGUUCCAA